UACAGAGGAGCCAAGCGUUGUCCGGAUUGACUGGGCGUAAAGCGCACGCAGGCGGCUGCGCGCGUGGGGUGUGAAAUCUGGCCGCUUAACGGCCAGGCGCCAUCCCAUACGGCGCGUCUGGAGUGAUGCAGAGGUCGGUGGAAUUGCCGGUGUAGUGGUGAAAUGCGUAGAGAUCGGCAGGAACACCCAGGGGGAAACCAGCCGACUGGGCAGCUACUGACGCUGAGGUGCGAGAGCGUGGGGAGCGAACCGG
rnacentral:rRNA from 1 species